rnacentral:rRNA from 1 species
CAGUCGAGCGAUGAAGCACCUUCGGGUGUGAAUUAGCGGCGAACGGGUGAGGAACACGUGAAGAAUCUGCCUUCAACUCUGGGAUAACUCCGGGAAACCGGGGCUAAUACCGGAUAUGAGCCUUGAUCGCAUGAUCGGGGCUGGAAAGUUUUUCGGUUGAAGAUGACUUCGCGGCCUAUCAGCUUGUUGGUGAGGUAAUGGCUCACCAAGGCGACGACGGGUAGCCGGCCUGAGAGGGCGACCGGCCACACUGGGACUGAGACACGGCCCAGACUCCUACGGGAGGCAGCAGUGGGGAAUAUUGGGCAAUGGAGGAAACUCUGACCCAGCGACGCCGCGUGAGGGAUGAAGGCCUUCGGGUUGUAAACCUCUUUCAGUAGGGAAGAAGCGAAAGUGACGGUACCUACAGAAGAAGCACCGGCUAACUAUGUGCCAGCAGCCGCGGUAAUACAUAGGGUGCAAGCGUUGUCCGGAAUUAUUGGGCGUAAAGAGCUCGUAGGUGGUUCGAUACGUCGGAUGUGAAAAUCAGGGGCUCAACCCCUGACCUGCAUCCGAUACGGUCGAGCUAGAGUUUGGUAGGGGAGACUGGAAUUCCUGGUGUAGCGGUGGAAUGCGCAGAUAUCAGGAGGAACACCGAUGGCGAAGGCAGGUCUCUGGGCCAAUACUGACACUGAGGAGCGAAAGCGUGGGGAGCGAACAGGAUUAGAUACCCUGGUAGUCCACGCCGUAAACGGUGGGCGCUAGUUGUGCGAACCUUCCACGGUUUGUGCGACGCAGCUAACGCAUUAAGCGCCCCGCCUGGGGAGUACGAUCGCAAGAUUAAAACUCAAAGGAAUUGACGGG